rnacentral:tRNA from 1 species
CGUCCGGUUUGCAAGCAACGAUCGAAGCCAAGCCUCCGGAAGGCCGCGGGUUCAAAUCCCGCCCGGUCCACCA